rnacentral:misc_RNA from 1 species
GUAAAUUUAAAAUUAGGAACCAAAUUAAUCGUGGAACGUGGAUUGCAAUCAUGGCAUGUGCUAUGGAAACCUUUAUGAGUGCAUUUGCGUGGAAAGCCUUCACAGCAUUUGUGGUGCUUUUGGGAUUUCCUGGCAGGUUUAUCCUGUCUGGAAGAUGUUAGUUUAUAUCUAUUGUCAAAGUGAUUUUUUUUAAUGGGUUCUCGUCUUUGCGUGUACCAUGCAAUUUCAAUCCGAACAAGUUCCUUGAUCGAUUUCGUUUUCAACGCGACCAGCGGCCUUGCCUGGUAGUAGUUGGUUCCACCUAGACCAUUCUGCUUUGUGGAGUGCCCGAAUAAGAACGAAGGCAUCAAAGCCUGAGCCGCAGCUGUCGCUUGGCGUAUGGUUAAAGGAUAAUGAUAAGGUAUCAUCUCAAAAAGAGGAUGAUGACACAUUAUGGGUUGCUUCCAGUUCAUCGCAGUCGAAAUUACCAAUGGAAUGGGCCUCCUGUAGUG